CACUGGACAGUGGCUGGUGUCUUUAUAAGAGAAAAGGGAGGGAGAUGUGGAUACAGAGGGACACAGAAGGAAGAAGGCUAUAUAAAUUCGGAGGCAGAGAUUGGAGUGAUGUGGCCACAAGCCAAGGAAUGAAAGAUUGGUGGAAGCCACCAGAAGCUAGGAAAGAGGAAACUUGGUGUUCAGCAGGAAGCCUAAAGAGGAGGCACAAUUCAGGGGGUUAGAGCCAGGAAUCCAGGUGGACCAGGUCCUCCCACCUCUGAAUCCCCACUGUGACCAUGAAGCAGACAUCAGCUGCACCCCUGCACCACCCUGGGACCCCAGGUAUCUGAGAAGCAGCUUGUACAGUUGACAAAUGAGAUGACCUCCCCAUCUUGUUUGACCUUUACCACCAUGAGAGCUCGGCCACUGUGUAAGAUGGGAAGUGGAGAGCGCCUGUUUUACAGAUGGGAUGGUCUGGCACACCGGGUGAAUAGAAACUCGAACCCAGGCUCCUGACUCCCUCACAUACUGGCAGGGUCAACUUGGAGGCAGAGCAGAAGCAGUGAGCACCAGCAUUCCCUGGGAAGCACAUGUUGGAUUCAGUCCCCAACCUCUACUGCCCUAGUCUGCCGGCCACACCACCUCUGGGCCUGGAGCCUUUGAUCCCUCCCUUCCCUUAUCAGCUGCUCCACAUCCGCCCAGAGGCCUGUAUUUGAAUCCUGGCUCUGUGUGCCAGCUGCAUGAACCACUGGGAGGGUGAAUGGACAACGUGUGGGCAGCACUGUAAUCCGGAAGCCAUGCAGGACUGCAGUCAUGUCCUGGUGGACACACCUUGGCCAUUCCUCCUAUCUCGUGGCUGGAUCAGGGUUUAGUCCCCCUGCCCUGCCCGGGGGCAGUACCUGAGGGCGGGGAGCCUGGGGAGCCGGGUGUGGGGCUGUCAUCCACCAGGCCGAGCUCCCUGUGCAGAGCUCCGUGGCGGACCACACCCAGUGUCCUCUCCCGCUUCUCUCUCGCCGCUCGGAGCUUGGUGAUGCUCAGCUUCAGGUCUAGCGGCUCGUCCAGGGAGUGCAUGGUGAUGGGGGGCUGGGGUUGGAAGUGGCAGCAGGCAGUGGGGGUCUUCAGGCAGGAACCUGGGGAAGACAGGAGCUGUGCUGUGACACUGACCCCAGGCUCCUCCACAGGUGGCAUUCAUUAAAGGGUGAGAGUGAGUGAGGCCGUCUGCAGGGGUAGGGAAACCCUCCGAGUGGCCUGGCCUGCAGGUAUCAUGGAGAGAGUGAGCCAGCCGCCUACUCAGAAGCUCCACGUCCACUUCCCGUGAAUCUUUUCAGGGAGGCAACACUCAUGGUCUCCAUUUUGCUUUGAAACUGAGUUUGAGAGACAUUGCCUCAGGUCACAGAGCUUGGAAUAGGCAGAGCUAACAGAUUUAAGGCCUCGAGCCUAGGUCUUUUCUCUGGAACUCGCUAGUCAAGUCCCAAGAGUCAUUUCUGAUGGAGCAGGAAGCCACAUGGGGACACACGCCUGGUUUGGGUCGAAGACCGAGAACCAUGCCAGGAGAGCAAGGUGUGUCCUCCAAGGUCACUAUCAAUAUUCCUCAGCUGUGUCGGGCACUCAUCCAUUCCCAGCAGGCAGCUAUGAUCACCUCUACGGAAACCAGGCUGACACCUUGUCCCAGGCAAGCCUUGCAAAGCCAGCCCCGAGGAAUUGGGGGCACAGGCAGGGGCCUCACCUCCCAGGUGAGGGACUGAGGAGUGGCACCAACAAGCUACCAGGAGCCAGAGGGCUCUGGGCCGCCACCAGGGGGCAGCUGGGGACUGUGGUCUGGUCAGGCCAGUUGGGACAGGGUUGG